GGCCGCAGUAUAUUAACUGUGCAAAGGUAGCAUAAUCAUUAGUCUUUUAAUUGAAGGCUGGUAUGAAUGGUUGGACAAGAUAUUAACUGUUUCAUAAAAAUUUAUAAUAGAAUUUUAUUUUUUAGUCAAAAAGCUAAAAUUUAUUUAAAAGACGAGAAGACCCUAUAAAUCUUUAUACUUAUUUUAUAAUAAUUUAUUAGAUAUAUUUGGUUAUUAUAAUUUUUAGUAUUUUAUUGGGGUGAUAUUAAAAUUUAAUAAACUUUUAAAUAUUUUGUUUCAUUAAUUUAUGAAUAAUUGAUCCGUUAUUAACGAUUAAAAAAAUAAGUUACUUUAGGGAUAACAGCGUAAUUUUUUUGGAGAGUUCACAUUAAUAAAAAAGAUUGCGACCUCGAUGUUGGAUU
rnacentral:rRNA from 1 species